UUUUUUUGCUUUCUUUCAAACGCAACGAGCUUUCCUUUCGGCAAUCCAUACAUGUUUCAUCUCGCGCUUUCUUCCUUUUUUUUAUUUCAAAAUCCAUGUUUUCUUCUUCUUCUCGCACUACCUACACAUACUAGUUCUACACCUUUGAGCUACCAAAUUUAUGAGAUCACAUCGCCGAAAGCCCAUUGAAGAAGCACUAUGUUCUGUUUCUUACAGUAUGAAAAAUUUUUGCUAUUCAAAAAUUUUAUGUUUCUUCUCUCCAUUUCGCGCUUUCUUUUCCUUUGUGUUUCGGCUGUUUCAAAAUCCACAAAUUAUGCUUCUCCUCUAGCUAGCUCAGCUUGUCAUUUCACACGCCAAACCUAUGAGGCUUUUAAAAAAUUUCAUCUUUCUUCCAGGCCUCUUCCUCUUCCUCUUAUGAUGAGCUUUUCAAAUUUGAAUUUAAAUGGCCUCAUAAUGAGGGUUUGGAAUCGAGUUGUACCGCCCGCUUUGUUUUGAGCUCCGUUGUCAUUGACUUCUUGCCGCUCCACCUCUCACCGCUCUGAUCCCGCCGCCACAAAUCCUUCCUCAUUUCCUGUGAUUCCUCCUGCCACAAAUCUACCUCUGGCGACUCUCACAGAGCCAACAACAACAACAACGAUUAUCUCGAAGCUUCUCUCCUUCUCUCAGGCCUCAUUUGCACAAGGAUCCACUAGUCGAAGGAGAAAUGGGGCUGACAUUCACAAAGCUUUUCAGCCGACUUUUCGCGAAGAAGGAAAUGCGAAUUUUGAUGGUUGGUCUUGAUGUUGCUGGUAAGACCACUAUCCUCUACAAGCUCAAGCUUGCAGAGAUCGUUACUAUAAUUCCUACCAUUGCUUUUGGCCAUUCCAGAGAGUGACAUGAGGCAGCAGUUUAAGGGAAACUACAAUUUUGCGAUUGGUUAAAUAAUGUCUGAAAUUCAAAACCCAAUCCAUAUGGAAUUUGGUAGGAACCUUCGAGGGAAGAAUGGCCUAAUUUGUGAGAGUGUUCUUAUGGAAUUGAAGGAGUUCGUAUCAAUGUGUGGAGGGCCCAAUGAGAAACUGAGAGCUGACAGGUUGAUAAAUUGCCUCAGGCAGUAUUAAGACAACUCUCCCUAAGACCAAUAGUGCUAAAGAGUUUAUGGGGUUAAUGGGAGAGCACUCUCAAACAAGUGAUAAGUGUCUUGUUAGGACAUUAAUGAGUACAUUGAUCACCAUGAAGUUUGAUGGUUCACGUACUAUGCAUGAGCAUGUCAUUGAGAUGACAAACAUUGCAGCAAAACUUAAGACCUUGGGAAUGGUUGUGAAUGAGAACUUCCAUGUUGAGUUUAUUCUGAAAUCAUUACUGUUCGAGUAAGGCUCGUUCCAAAUGAGUUAUAACACCAUAAAAGAUAAAUGGAAUGUGCAUGAAUUACACAGUAUGUUAGUGCAGGAAGAAAUGAGGCUUAAGAAUCAAGGAAGUCACUUAGUCCAUUAUGUAAGCCACCAAGGGAAUCAAGGAGCUAGAAAAAAAUUUGUGAAGAAGCAUGAUAAAGGCAAAGGGCCAUUAAAGAUUAAUAACAACUCUAAGCAAAUCCAGAAGAAGACAUCAAAGAGAAAUAAUUGCCAUUUUUGUGGGAAAUCUGGACACUUCCAAAAGGAUUACCCAAAGCGUAAGUCUUGGUUCGAAAAGAAAGGGAUUCCUAACAAUCCAAACCAUAAGCCCAAAUGGGAAGUUUGUCUUUAUGGGGAAUGGAGUAAAAGCUCUAGCAGAAGAUGUUGGGACUUAUCAUUUAAAACUUGACAUUAUAUGCCAUUUAGAUUUACUGGAAACUCUUUAUGUACCUAGUUUAUCUAGGAAUUUAGUUUCAUUAUACAAACUUGAUGU